ACUCCUAGUCCUACAUCUCUCGCAUUCAUUGAUCCAUUGAAGUACAUCUUUCACUCUUAAAUCUCGAUUUCCCCUAGACUUUCAUCAGCAAACCCUAAACCGUAUGAGUGGUCUCCCUCGAUUGCAUUUUGAGCCAAAAAUUAUGCUACAGCCCUACCCUUGACUACCUUCUUGGUAACGUACUCGAUGUCAAACUCUGUUAGGAGCACUAACAUCUAGCCAGCUUUCCUAUAAGAAACGGAGCUUUAAAUAGAUAAUUCAGUACGUCUAUUUCU
rnacentral:lncRNA from 1 species